AAGUCGUAACAAGGUUUCCGUAGGUGAACCUGCGGAAGGAUCAUUACCGUUGGAGCUCGCUCCAUCUGGGAUAGAACCCUUGAUUUUAAGUACCUUAUGUUUCCUCGGCGGGCUCGCUCGCCGGUGGACAACCAUUAAACUCUUUGUAAUAGCAGUAUCUUCUGAUAAAAACAAAUAGUCAAAACUUUCAACAACGGAUCUCUUGGUUCUG
rnacentral:misc_RNA from 1 species